GACCCAGGGCAGCACCUUCUCCUUCAAAGCCAGUUCAAAGGACGCCAGAUUUGAGACUUUCCAGACGGGUGUCCUGUGUCCGGCUUGGCUACCAACUGAUUAUAUCUUUGGCUAAGUUUCAACUGCAGAACCUUCUUGGUGCACGUAUGCUUGCAUGCGCAUCAGAAGCCUGAAGUUCCAU
ensembl:lincRNA 9130204K15Rik RIKEN cDNA 9130204K15 gene